rnacentral:rRNA from 1 species
AUUGAACGCUGGCGGCAGGCCUAACACAUGCAAGUCGAACGGUAACAGGAAGAAGCUUGCUUCUUUGCUGACGAGUGGCGGACGGGUGAGUAAUGUCUGGGAAACUGCCUGAUGGAGGGGGAUAAGUACUGGAAACGGUAGCUAAUACCGCAUAACGUCGCAAGACCAAAGAGGGGGACCUUCGGGCCUCUUGCCAUCGGAUGUGCCCAGAUGGGAUUAGCUAGUAGGUGGGGUAACGGCUCACCUAGGCGACGAUCCCUAGCUGGUCUGAGAGGAUGACCAGCCACACUGGAACUGAGACACGGUCCAGACUCCUACGGGAGGCAGCAGUGGGGAAUAUUGCACAAUGGGCGCAAGCCUGAUGCAGCCAUGCCGCGUGUAUGAAGAAGGCCUUCGGGUUGUAAAGUACUUUCAGCGGGGAGGAAGGGAGUAAAGUUAAUACCUUUGCUCAUUGACGUUACCCGCAGAAGAAGCACCGGCUAACUCCGUG